ensembl:lncRNA
CCCCACUGCACAAGUGCUGGUCAUGCCUUCUCUAGUGGCCACUGGAACACGGCGCUGUUGGAGAAAGGCGCCCUCCCUCCUGCUGAUCACUCUGGGCUUAUUUGCCCUUAAUGGCUGUUCUGGAGAUUUAUUCUUUCUUCUUUUGAAUCUGUGAUAUAUUUACGGUAGUUUUUCCUAUUUUAGUCAAGUUUUGUCAAUGUUUUUAGUCUGAAUAUUGAUAAGUAAACCAUUACUAUGUGCAUCUCUCUUUUUUGAGGUCCGCCCUCCCUCCUUGACUUAGUGGCAUCCAAGAUCUGUUACACAACUCACACUGGGCCCUGACCAGGUUUACUUGGUAGCUGCUCCAUAUGCUGAUGUGAUUAAUGAACACGGCUGUCUGUAAAUUGUUUCGUAAUAUCAGGGCUCUCUGUGAUAAGGAGGGUUGGGUCAUAGGCUCUAGAUCCCAAUGACCUGAGAUGCUUUCAAACAUCUCCCCCUCCAAAAUAAAAUAAACACACAAAAAAUCUGUAGCUGUAAAACCGGAGACGGUUUGGGUCCUUCUAAAGAGCUUCCUGGGUUGGAUUGACUUCAUGUACAUAUUGGGGAGUUUCUGCUUGCUCAUAUUCCACUGUCCUUCUCUUACACUUUGUCUAAUUGGAAAGGUCCACUGAGAUACAAGAGGAGAGAAGAACUCAAGUGUGUACCUGUAGGCUCCAGAUCACACACCGGAGGGAGUCCCAUGUGCCCUGAGGGGGAUCGGCGGUAGGAAAGUCACAACUGUGGACUUCACCCAGCUUCCAUGCUGCAGGCUCACCAUUUUAGUCUCCCCUUCUUGCUGACAUCACAACCGUAGGUCCAGGCACCCAGCAAGUGUGUCAGGCCAGCUCUGUGCCUGGAAUUCCUCCUGGGAUGUUUCUCACAACAUCUUACAUCUUAAUCUUUUGUGCUUGAACACAGUGAGCCUCAGCCAGAUCUGAGCACAAGAGCCUGGGAGGGAGGGAAGGUCUCCGCUCUGACCCCUCACAGAGCAGAGUCCCUGCUGUGGAGGACUGUGUAUCUGCUGGAUGGACCCUGGGUUCCCACAAGAAGAAAUCUAGCAAAGGCUAAUUUCCCAUCUUUCAAGACAAACAGCCCAGCUACAAAGGCUCUCAUUUUAUCACACAUGGGUCACCAGGCAAAGAUGCAGUGUCAUCAUGAGAUUUGUAUUUUGUUUGGUUUGGUUUUCAUUUUGGUGUUUGUUUACCUGAGAUUGCAGGUAUAUUGACUGGAAAAUUGGGAAGACAGCCGAUGUGAACCAGAAACUACUUCCAGGCACAGCUACUGCGUCUACAAGUUACUGUAAAAUUGCAGAAGCGUCUAUUCCAAGUGCCUGAGUGGGCUGAGGUAUUUGUCCCAAUUUCCCAUCUGCCUGUGUCACUGUGAGAAGCCCUAUUGUGCACAAUCACACAGUAAUAAUCAGCCUCAUCCUCUGGCUGCUGCCCAGAGAUGAGCAGAAUCCUUGCGUUGGCCGAGGCAUCUUUGGAUCCAGAGAAGCAGCUGGGGACCUGGAGCCUGGUGCUUCUCUGAAUCUGUGUGGUAGUAGAGGAGAUGCUGGGAAGGGGACCGUGCAUUCUGCUGGUACCCACGCUGCUUUGAGUAAAAAUCCUCCCUGAGCCGCUGUGUAGGGUCCACAGGGCAGUCCCACAUCACCCCCUGCUGGUCAUAUGUGGAAAAAUGAAAAAUGCAAGAGAUAAUGUCUGUGAAAAACUGGUAAAAUACGUGCUUUUCUAGGAAGGAUCAAAAUUGGCUCUACUGGAAAUAAAACAAGUAAGCUUACCUAUUUUAAUACAGAAAUGCAAAAUGUUAUGGACCCAUUCCACAGAAUGACUGAACAGACAGAUAUUCUCACAUGGAAGCUCUAAAAACAUCAGAGACCAGAGGGUUCCAAUCUACUUGCUCUAUUUUUAAAUAACACUUAAAAGGAUGGAAAACUUACCAGUUCUUUUAGAGAUCAGUUAUAUCAGUUAUAAUGCAUGUUACAGUUAAAUUACAGAAAAAUAAAAAUGGCAGACGAACAACAUUAGAUAUUAUGCAAAUGUUCUAAAUAGAAUAUUAACGAAGAGAUCUCAAUACUAGAUUAAUGAAUUGAUGAAUUAUUAUCAAGUGUCAUUGAUUCCAAUGAUGCAAGUUGUAUGCAAUAGUAAGAAAUAUUUUAAUAUAACACACAAUAUAAAUAUAUAUAGAUAGAUAUGAUCAUAUGGUCUCAAAUGAUACUGGAAGGGAUUUUGACCAAAUUUAGCAUCAAUUCCUAAUAAAAGCCACAUAAAACUAAAAGCCACAAACAGAAACAUUUAUAAUACGGCCAGACACACUCUCUCACACACGUAUAAUGAAAUCCUAGUGGCAGCAUCUUAGUCAAUGGAGUGGUAAAGGGCAGCAUUUCCAAAAAGAUCAGCAAUAGGCAAAGGUGAUUCCCUUUGCCCAUGUACCUCCAUUAAUAUUCCACAGUAUUCUGCAAGCAUGAGAAAAUCCAAUUAAAGUAAUGAUAUCAAUGGUUUGGACAUAGAAUUCACGGGAACAAAGAAGUAGACAUUCUUAAUGAUCCAAAUGAACGUUGUGGCCUUAGAUACUCUGGUCCCAGUGCAGAAGUGACAGCAGAGAUCACCCCAGUGAGUGACUAGUCACUAACACUCACUAGUACUGGUAACAGGUAAUGACAGAGGCAUGUGAGUGGAACAGGGGGAGCAAAGGGGAGGUCUUGGUCCACCUGCCCAGCAGUGAAGAGCAUCUUGUAAGAUAUUAGGCAGUCACCUGAGGUCUGGGGUAAUCAUCUGCAUCCCACUCACACUGCAUCCCAAGUAACAUCAGUCAUCACACUUAUGGGGCUUCUGUCUCACAGCCAGAAUAAGCCACAUGCAGACUUCCAGGGCAGAAAGUGUGGACUUUCUGCCCAAGUGACCAACACACUGAGACAGGCAUUGUGAGUCUGGUGUCACAGCACCUGCUCCAUGUGGAACCAAGGAGAAGGCAGGUCCUGUGCCUAAAAUCUUGUAAAGGUCCCCUACCAGAAGCUGGAAGAACAAGACUUCCGGGUUUGGUUGAGGCACCACUGAGCUCUGUCUCCUGAGGGUCCACUGUGCGGACUCCGCCAACAAGCUGUGUCUUGUCUUCCCAGGAGCCCACUUCCUCCUUGGAAGUGCAUUGGGGCUCCUAAUGGUCUGUCAGCCCCACCUUGUUCAAGACUCCCUGAGGAAAAAGGAGGCGAUGACCUACAUUGGAAGCCAUCAGUUAGGAAGCCAAAACCAGGAGCUCACAGGGUCACGGGAAGCCUCACGGGUGAAGGCAAGUCCCACAUCAGUGAGGACACAGGUCGCCCAACUGCCCUGGAGCCCACUGAGUGGUUGAACAUCUGUCUGACCCAACACCUGCCUCUCCUAAGUCUGAGGACACUCCAUUGCUGCCCCUGCUGGUGACUGCCCAUCCCGCAGCCGCUGUGACAUCCCUAAGCACACCACGCAGAGUGUUCGAUUUUACAGCAGUCUUCCCCAACGUUACUCCCAAGAGAGUGGAAUGAGAAAGGCCUUCUAGGAUUACAUGGGGACAGUGAUGCUCUCACACCUGCACUUCUAUUUUCAUGAAAAACUAUAAUUAUUUUCAAACUGUCAGUCUCUGUCCAUUCCACCCUAGAGCUCCAACCUUGCCUGCUGUGGCAGACACUGACCUCGGUGUGUGAGAGGACAGUGAAAGGGCGCAACAGGGACACACCUAUGCUGACACGGCCCUGUGUGCAUGUGGGUUGUGCACAUGGCUCUGUGUUUUCCUGUGGGUUGUGCACAUGGCUCUGUGUGCAUGUGGGGCGUGCAGAUGGCACAUUGUGCAUGUGGGGUGUGCCCUGGGAUAUUGGGACAGAGGAGCCUGGACAAAGCUGUGAUAUGUAAGCUUGGAUCUGUGGGAUGAGUCAAGUGAUCACCCUGGGAAAGACUGGAAGAGCCUUCAAAUCAGAGGUCAGGUCAUGUACCGAGGUCAGGAAAAGAGGGGAGGCUGGUUGCUGGUGAUGCUGGUGGAUGGCCACUUGAGGUCGGAGAGAUGGACCCUCUAAGCAGGGGAACCCAGCACCUCCAAAUGGAAUAGAAAAGAAAAAUCUCGAAAAAUUAAUAUUCUCUUACUUAAACCUUGAAAUCCUUUAUUACACAUUUUUAAGGUGUAUGAAUGUGCAUCUUCAUAUAGCCACAAAUGCAUUCACAAUGAUGUUGCCUAUACAUUUGUUAAUCAUGCAGAUGAAGAAAUUUUCACUUAUUGUAUUAUUUUUAAUACUCCUGAAUAGGCCACACAAUUGUCAGCUGGAACCCAGUCCCUGUGCUUUCCUUGGCAGUGAAUGCUGCUCUGGGAGGUCCCCAUGCACUGGGUGAGCCUGGGGAGCUCAGGGUUUGUGUCUCCUUCCCCACUGGCCUGGGGCCCCACGUGUGCACUGAGGCUGCUGUCCCACAAGGAGCAGUAAUAAUCAGCCUCGGUCCAGGCUGGAGCCCAGAGAUGCUCAGGGGGCCACACUGCCUCACCUGGAGCCAGAGAAUCUCUCGGAGACCCCAGAGGCCCAGAUGUUAUUCCUGCUGGUCAGGAGUGUGGGGACAUGGCCUUGGGGUUGCUGCUGCAGCCAUGCUUCUCCCUCAUGGCCUACAUUUUUGCUCUUUCCAGUGCAGGAGCUUGGGAUCGUGUGAGAUCCGUGUCGGCUCCAGUGCAGUCUCUAGGUCUUUCUUGUUUCUGACAUGACUGGAGUCAGCCUCCCUCUGUCCCCAUCACUGUCUCUCUGGAGAGACCGGGUGCCCUGGAAAAGGAGCUCCUGCCUGUGUGGACAUGAGCAGGCAGAGGGUGCAUCGAUGGGAAUGGCUCAGUCUACAGGGGAUCAGAGGAACGGACAUGCUUAGAUCGACAGACCCAUGUAGGGGGCUCAGACCCUCAGAUGCUGGUGACAGAGGUGAUGUCAAUCACAGAGGAGUGAAGGUGUGAUCAGGGGCCCCAGGGGGGUGGUUUAUGUCUCACUUCCUCGUGGGCACACAGCACUGAGUACACUGAGGUCUCUGUCAUAUGUGUGACAGUAACAAUCACCUCGUCCUCAGGCUGGAGCCCACAGAUGGUCAAAGAGACCACGUUGCCUGACUUGGAGACAGAGAAUCAUCUGGAAUCUCUCAGGGCCUGGUACUUCCAAGAGUCAGAGUUUUGGGGCAGCACCACUGACAGCUGGAACCAACACACACUAUGGGAUCCAAUGUUGCUGUUCCCGGAGCAGGAGAUGGUGACCUCCUGGUCCAGGGUCCCUGACACCGAGGAUGGCUGGGUCAGCAAAGACCGUGCCCAGGACCCUGAAAUGAGGGACACAGAGUCACAGAGGUG